GGUUUAACCAACUGCUCCUGAUUUUCUUCAUAGCUCAGAUCAAUUAACUUUCCCAGAUAGUAUUUGAUCCUCUCAUCAUAUUCAGAAGUUUGCGAAGAUGUUCUAGGAUUAAUGGGUACCUUAUUAAGAAUAUUACAGAGUGAUUCUUUAAUACCUUCCUUCUCUUUUUCUCUUUCUGCUUUCUUCUCUUCGCAUCUAUUAUGCUUAUCAUGAAUCCUCUCCUCCUCUUCGUCCUCACUGCUUCCAAUAUCAAUUGUUUCCUCCUCUGGCUUCCUUUUUCUUCUUAUUAUAACAACU
rnacentral:lncRNA from 1 species